rnacentral:rRNA from 1 species
GGGAACAACAGCUGGAAACGGCUGCUAAUACCCCAUAGGCUGAGGAGCAAAAGGAGGAAUCCGCCCAAGGUGGGGCUCGCGUCUGAUUAGUUAGUUGGUGAGGCAAUGGCUUACCAAGGCGACGAUCAGUAGCUGGUCCGAGAGGAUGAUCAGCCACACUGGGACUGAGACACGGCCCAGACUCCUACGGGAGGCAGCAGUGGGGAAUUUUCCGCAAUGGGCGAAAGCCUGACGGAGCAAUGCCGCGUGAAGGU